UUUUUUUUUUUUUUUUUUGUGAGACAUCAGUUUUCUAAUGAAAAUAAAAAAAUAAAUAUAUUAGCUGUACUUUUUGAUAGAAAAUUUUAUUUUAUUACCUUAUUCAUUUGGCUCAUUUGCAAAGUCAAAGUGUCUUUAUAAAGGGAGAACAAACAACAAAAGGCACAAUAUUGUAUAUAGAUACUAUACAUAUUACCAAAAGUAAAGUACAACACACCUGUAAACUAUUAGACUUUUCACUUUUGUUAAAAGGCCAAAUGUCUUAUAUCUAAAUUAGGAUGAAUUGAAAUUGAAUAAGAAAUAGAAAAGGAAUGAGAAAAGAAUCAUCUAAAUUAGGAUGAAUUGAAAUUGAAUAAGAAAUAGAAAAGGAAUGAGAAAAGAAUCAUCUUAUAUCUAAGUAAAUUGUAAUGCAAAUUGGAGUACGUUUCACAAUUGUGUUUUUUGAAAAGUGAAUUGCUUUCAAAAACAAAUGAGAACCAUGCUAGUAAUGAAAUAAGGUCAUUAAAGUAGCACCAGCAUAUAAAAAUGAGGACCGUUAUUGCCAUCAGGGCUUGCUCAAGCCCUAAUCGGAAUUGAGUGCGAAUAUAACGGGCCAGCUUUGGUCUAUUUGAAAUGUUUUGCUUGUUUUGCUGGGCUGCGCCUUCCUGUGUAGUCAAUUUUUUGGGCUUGUUUGGCUUGUUGCUAUCUCGGUGAAUGCCAUGCUGUAAUUUUUCUCAAUCUAAACCACACUUCUAAACACUAUAUUUUUAAAUAUUCAAAGUGAUCAUCAAGUUAGGAUCUCAACUACCUUCCGAAAAACAAUGAUAGGACCUCUUAAACAAGUUCGUAUUUCGAACACAAUGGUCGACCAGCACAAUCCAAAUAAUUAAGAAAGGAUUUUGUAGGGCCAGAGUCCUAGUUGUGCAGUACGAUUUGUGGAAUUGGUCAACUGAUUGCAAAUGCCUGCCCCUAAAACCUAAAUUUGCAGCACAAUUAAGAUUUUUUUUUCGGUCUAGUGAUUUUUUUAUGAAAUAGCGGAGGUAUAACUGGACCGUAAGUUACUUAACCCUUAGGUUGCAAUACAAUUAUGAAAUUCUCAUUAAAAAAAAAUAAAGAAAAAGAAAAUGAAAGUGACAAAAAUGUGAGCAAGUGGCAUAACAAACAGAAGGUAAAUUGCUUAAAAGUUUAUAGUGACAAAUAAAGAAUAAAAAUGAUGUAAUUCAAAGUUACAUGUACAAUAUCAGAUUAUAGGCAGCCCCGGCCCAAACUGAUUUGAGAGAAUCCAGUUGCUUUAAAAAGUUGUGAAUUUAAUGGGAAAAUUAAAUAUAGUCUGGAAACACACACGAGUAGAACCAUCAGCACAGGGAAAUAAUUUGGAGGUUCUGCAACCAUCUUCAUGUCUCCCAAAGAAAGAAGCUGCUAUUUUAAUAGUUAGAGCUAUAAACACCUUCUUCUUUUAAGCAUGGCCUGAUUAUAUGCUCUGUUUAAUCUACUUUGCUUGCAUUAAAUUAUCAGUUUCCGAAAGGUGCAAAAUCUGCUUCCUCUAGAGUAUCUUAAUUAGGUAUUUAUACAAAUAUAGUUUUGUGCAUCCUAAAGCCACUGUAGAUUCAUCACUUAAAUUGGUAAAAAUAUAACCUGAAUUAAUCUAUUUAUUAUGAUUUUUUUAAUAGAAGGAAAUCUAAUUAGACAAGAAUAAAUUUAAAGAAAAUAAAAUAAUUUGAAACUUACGGGUAGUUAUCAUGUGGUCUUCCAAUUCUAUCUUUCCACAUGUCUUCUCAACUAUAUUCUUUAACCCACUUUGAUCUCACGUUUUAACUCACUUUGUUUUUUUUAAGAAUCUGAAGUAGCUAUCCAGAAAACUACGUAGUUUCCUCAUCUUUAAUUGUUCCCCAAAACUUGUGCCAUAUGUUAUUCUUACAACCAUUUCGUUAGAUGCACUAACACUUCAAAUUUAUUAUAAUAUUGGGGUAUAUUCUGAGCAAGUGUGAUCGGCCACAUUUCAAGUAAUCAUAAAAUCAGUUAUAUUUCAAGAUAUCGGUCACAUUUCAAUCUUCUAAUAAUUAAUCGAUAAUUAUAGUACAAACACUUGUAAUACAGAGCUAUUUGAUCUAGCACCGGCUUCAUGGAGACCCAGAUUCAGCUUGUUCCAGUCCACGCACCAAGGAUUAUGAUUAACAUAUCAUUACUGUAUAAUGAUUACCAUCUUUCAAUAUUAUAUAUAUAUAUAUAUAUAUAUAUAUUACGAGAUGAAAACCGAUAAAAUUCUUCAGCAUAUUUAGCAAUCGUUCUACUUACCAGCGUAGGACUGAUAUUUCUGAUAAAGAACCUGUUCGUUAUGAAUCAUGGUAUCAAUGUUAAGUUCAUGUAUCAUUUAUGAAGUUGGAAACGAUACUGAAAAAACACCAAGAAAUUUUGAAUACAUCGCCUGCUCCUAAAUGCAUUUUUGUUUAGUUUUUUUGUUUAGUUUUGUGUGCCGAUCUACUUUGGGUCUGUUUAGUAAUAUGAAUUAAUUCCUACUUUCUGCUGUCAAUUCUGAGAAAACAAAAAUAAAAGUAAAAUCACGUUUAUUAAAUUACUUUUACUUUUUCAUUUUAAGGAAGUAAUUUCUAAAUUUGUAAAGAGAAGAGUUCUCACUUUCUCUAUUUUCUGUACUGUGCGGAGAAAGUAUUUUUGAUACUGUAGCGCUAAGUAAAAACACUGUAGCGCUAACUUUGAAAGAUAAAAUCUGUCCUCAUUUAUGUCAUCAUCUCAAUGACGCAACCCUAGCAUCUCGCCCUCAGAUCUGCUUCUACCAAGGCGAUUCUUCAUCCCUUAUCUGCGACCGUCGAUCGGCGAAGGAGACUCAACGGCCAACCAACAACAACACCUAAGAAUGUGAAUAAUCCUUGCUGCACUCUACUUCCACGCAUAUCAGCAGAUUAGAGAGAGAGAAGAAGAGGAAGUUGAGUGAAACCCAAUUCACUUUGGUGGUCUAUUAUUAGGGUUACAUUGUCGCAAUUUUAAGGGUUAGACAUGUCCCCUCAAUCAUCAGGUUUAAUUCUUGCUAAGGGAGAAGCUAUUUGGAAUGAGUGGUGUCGGUAAAGAGUAACUGAAUUUGAGAGGAAGAAGAAGAGGAAGUUGAGUGAAACCCAAUUCACUUUGGUGGUCUAUAAUUAGGGUUACAUUGUUGCAAUUUUAAGGGUUAGACAUUUCCCCUCAAUCAUCAGGUUUAAUUCUUGCAGAGGGAGAAGUUAUUUGGAAUGAGCGGUGUCGGUAAAGAGUAAUUGACCCUUUCAUAGAUUCGAACAUCGAACUGGAGCACGACAAAAAGUUACAUUCUUAUGGGCUGUUCAUGGAAACUCACGCUGCAUUACGAACGCUUAAGAGCCCUAAAUAUUUGUGUUUUGAAGAGUUGUCAAGUGACGCCAUUAAAACAUCCCAUAAUUGUUUGUUUUUGGCAAUCUCCACCCUUAAUAUUUCCGGAUUUUUUGUGGAAGGGAAACAAGCAGGGUAUAGAGGAAUAUUGAGAGAUUCCUCAAAUUCUUUUUUGUACCACAUCUAUGACCAACUUCCUGGUGCAAAAUCCUUGGAAUCUGUUGUGCAUUAGAUCCUAUAAAAAGGAUACCGGCAGUUAGGAAAAUAAUUUUAGAAAUUGACCAUCAAAACAUUGUCAAGGCAAAUUUUUGAUAGGUUGUCAAACUUAAAUAUUGGAACUUUAUAGGCAAAUUUUUGAUAGGUUGUCAAACUUAAAUAUUGACAAGCAUCGGAUCGUGUUUCUACAUACUCAGGGCAACGGUACCACCAAUCGGAUGGCAUAUCUAGCUGCCAACACGAGGGUAUACAGUUUUCUCUGUAAAGAUCUUGAUUUAAAUCUACAAAUUGGCUACGAUAAUGAUGGGAAGUGUUCACGUUACGAGAUCGUUUACAAAAAUUGAUACCGACUCUACAUGAUUAUUGUUAGAUUGCAUCAGGGAGUUCCCACUCUCUUUGUAGCUACAGACCCUCAUAUAUAUAUAUAUAUAUAUAUAUAUAUAUAUAUUCCCAGAUGCUAUGAAUUGGUGGUAUACUGCGUUUAUGGCUGGGAAUCUUCUUCCCAACAGUUAUAGAUAAAUUGAUACCGACUUUGUGAUAGUUUACUCUGUUUUUUUGGUGCUCCAUUUCCCAUGCCUGGUGCGUUUUUGUUUAUACAGCCUUAUUUUUGCUGGGGUUCCUGGCUUUUCUCUUUUCAAAGGGGAAUGCCUCUCUUUCCACUUAUGUACCCAAUAGUUUGAGUUAAUGAAAAUGUUAAUUACCAAAAAAUAUAAAUAAGACGUUUGCUUGCAAGCAGUGUU